rnacentral:rRNA from 1 species
ACCGCAUGGUGUGUUGGGAAAGCCUUUGCGGCAUGGGAUGGGGUCGCGUCCUAUCAGCUUGAUGGCGGGGUAACGGCCCACCAUGGCUUCGACGGGUAGCCGGCCUGAGAGGGCGACCGGCCACAUUGGGACUGAGAUACGGCCCAGACUCCUACGGGAGGCAGCAGUGGGGAAUAUUGCACAAUGGGCGCAAGCCUGAUGCAGCGACGCCGCGUGAGGGAUGGAGGCCUUCGGGUUGUAAACCUCUUUUGUUAGGGAGCAAGGCAUUUUGUGUUGAGUGUACCUUUCGAAUAAGCACCGGCUAACUACGUGCCAGCAGCCGCGGUAAUACGUAGGGUGCAAGCGUUAUCCGGAAUUAUUGGGCGUAAAGGGCUCGUAGGCGGUUCGUCGCGUCCGGUGUGAAAGUCCAUCGCUUAACGGUGGAUCCGCGCCGGGUACGGGCGGGCUUGAGUGCGGUAGGGGAGACUGGAAUUCCCGGUGUAACGGUGGAAUGUGUAGAUAUCGGGAAGAACACCA